rnacentral:rRNA from 1 species
CAAAAACAUCGCCUCCUGCAAAUAUCAAUGUAUAAGAGGUCCUACCUGCCCAGUGACAACAAGUUAAACGGCCGCGGUAUUUUGACCGUGCUAAGGUAGCGCAAUCACUUGUCUUUUAAAUGAAGACCUGUAUGAAUGGUGGAACGAGGGCUUAACUGUCUCCUUUUUCAGGUCAGUGAAAUUGAUCUGCCCGUGCAGAAGCGGACAUAAAAAUACAAGACGAGAAGACCCUCUGGAGCUUAAGACAAAAGAUCAACUAUGUUAAAAACCCUUAUAAACAGGAACCAAACAAAAUAAAAACUGACCUUAGUCUUCGGUUGGGGCGACCGCGGGGGAAAAUAAAGCCCCCAUGUGGAAUAGGAUAACCCUUCAACCACGAGGGACACCUCUAAGUCACAGAAUAUCUGACCAAAAGAUCCGGCUUUUUAGCCGAUCAACGGACCAAGUUACCCUAGGGAUAACAGCGCAAUCCCCUCCAAGAGUCCAUAUCGACAAGGGGGUUUACGACCUCGAUGUUGGAUCAGGACAUCCUAAUGGUGCAGCCGCUAUUAAGGGUUCGUUUGUUCAACGAUUAAAGUCCUACGUGAUCUGAU